GACAGAGGGGGCUAGCGUUGCUCGGAAUCACUGGGCGUAAAGGGCGCGUAGGCGGGGCGGCAAGUCGGUCGUGAAAUCCUCCGGCUCAACCGGAGAACGUCGGCCGAAACUGCCGCUCUUGAGGGAUGCAGAGGAGACUGGAAUUCCCGGUGUAGCGGUGAAAUGUGUAGAGAUCGGGAGGAACACCGGUGGCGAAGGCGGGUCUCUGGGCAUCUCCUGACGCUGAGGCGCGAAAGCGUGGGGAGCAAACGGG
rnacentral:rRNA from 1 species